rnacentral:rRNA from 1 species
AUUGAACGCUGGCGGCAGGCCUAACACAUGCAAGUCGAGCGAGCGGCGGACGGGUGAGUAAUGUCUGGGAAACUGCCUGAUGGAGGGGGAUAACUACUGGAAACGGUAGCUAAUACCGCAUACCAUCAGAUGUGCCCAGAUGGGAUUAGCUAGUAGGUGGGGUAAAGGCUCACCUAGGCGACGAUCCCUAGCUGGUCUGAGAGGAUGACCAGCCACACUGGAACUGAGACACGGCCCAGACUCCUACGGGAGGCAGCAGUGGGGAAUAUUGCACAAUGGGCGCAAGCCUGAUACAGCCAUGCCGCGUGUAUGAAGAAGGCCUUCGGGUUGUAAAGCACUUUCAGCGAGGAGGCGUUACUCGCAGAAGAAGCACCGGCUAACUCCGUGCCAGCAGCCGCGGUAAUUC